rnacentral:misc_RNA from 1 species
AUAAAAAAUUCUCUUGUGCAGAAAAAUUACAAUAUACCUUUGGUCGCAGAUAUUCACUUUGCUCCAUCUGUUGCAUUGCGAGUAGCUGAAUGUUUUGACAAAAUUCGUGUAAAUCCAGGAAAUUUUGCUGAUAGGCGGGCUCCGUUUGAGAAGCUUGAGUACACAGAAGAUGACUAUCAGAAAGAACUCGAGCAUAUCGAGCAGGUUUUUACUCCAUUGGUUGAAAAAUGUAAGAAGUAUGGAAGGGCAAUGCGGAUUGGGACAAACCAUGGGAGUCUUUCAGAUCGUAUAAUGAGCUACUAUG